CAACCAUUAUAAAUAAAAUUGUUGAUGCUUGAGACUGUCUCAAACUAAAACCCCAAGACUUCGUAUACUUGUUUAUAUAAGCAGGACAUUGUGGACACGUGAUUGCUGGGAGUAUUACAAGUUAGCACCUGUUAUUAGAGUUAUUUUGCUUAGCAGAUAAAAAUCAUGUAGUAUUGUGCUUAUAUAUUGUAUAGUCAUGAAAAUGGAUGAAGAUUAAUUACAUAACUAUAGCAAGUGAACUAAUUUGGAUCAGUGGGAAAGCAAGAAGAAUAUAAAGCUUUUACUCUCUUAAUAAUGUUUGCACUCAUUCAAUGUAGUUGCAGUCUGCCAAUUUGCCUGUUUAACUUGAGGGUUUUAUAAGUUAGGAUGAAGUGCUAGCUUAAUUUAUCCUGUCCUUCCAGUCUGUAAAGUAAAUUGGUUAGGGAUAGUUAAGCAAAAUUUUUAUAUAAAAAAUAUAAGUAAGUUGAAUCAAUCAACAUAAAGGUCAAAUUACUAUGGAUCUUAUUCAGACUUACGACCUUAAAAUUUUAUCCUUGAUGCAUUUAGAUAACUUGAAUGCCUAAAAUUUAAGAUGAUUUACUUCUUGUGUAAAUUGAAGCAUCCAAUUAUUUAGUAUCCAUUUUGGCUCUCUUAAGUGUUAAUUAUGCUAAUUAUUUGCAGUUACAAAUUACAAUACAGAAAAGUUAACUGGUACUGUUGAUGUGAUGAGCUCGAUUUCAUCAUUAGGGGACACUUUUGCCAUGCUGAAUGAUGUUGACGUUUACUUGAACAGACCUUCUAUGGCUGGUGGAGUUUGGUUUUAGAAUCCAAUUCUAGAAAGACAGGAGCUACUUUUUCUAUGUUUAAAGUCCAGCCCGAGGAAAAUGAAUUUCAGACUUGUCUUAAUGCCUAUUUUGGUCCAAUUUCGGAGCAAGAGAAGGUACCACCCAUGAAUUGGAAGAACUCAAUAGAACUAUAGGGGAUCUUUGCAUUAGAGCUUACAACUUAUGGAUAUUAUGGCUAUCUGAUGAACUUUCUGCCAUUGUCUCACGAGAUCUCAAACAGGAUGAUGCUUUAUGUUUGAGUACACCCUGGAGGGGCUGGGAGGAUACCAUAGUCAAGCAAGAUCAGUCUGAUGAGAACCAAUCAGAUAUGAGAAGAAGAAGAAGAAGAAGGCUAUUGCUAUUUUUUAAGGCCUUCAGGCAUAUCUAUCUAGCGUGGAAGCAUGUUAUGACAUUUCCUUUUUUUUCUCUCUUUUAGGUGAUUAUUUUUUAUGUGAGAACUAGCUCAGGAACACAAUUAUCUAAUAUAUUAUUCUU